CGAUUGCUUGCUCAGAGUGAGUCACGGCAGCGUCUGGCAAGCCCUGGCUGUGCGCAAGGUAAACGCUCCAGGCUUUCUUUUCCGCAAGCCCUUUCAGCGUGCACCAUCACAAGUGAGAGGAUGGCUCAUUUUCACAAGCAAGUUCCAUGAUCGGCGGAUCAGACAGAACAUGAUUUUCUCUUCCCUUAUGCUGCUCUGACUCUACUGAGUUCAGAAGGAUGACUCUUGAUUUAUGCUGGGCAAGAAAGGCAAUGCUCUGAAAGAAAUGACUGCAUUUUCCUAACCUCCAAAGGAGGAAAAAAAAGAGAUACAGAAAGAAAAGCCAGCAGCAGGCAUCAGAAGAGACAGAAAGAAGUAAGAAAGCAGUCGGCAGCCGGAGACAGGUGAGGCACAGGAUCUGGGCAG
rnacentral:lncRNA from 1 species